AGAGUUUGAUCAUGGCUCAGGGUGAACGCUGGCGGCAUGCCUAAGGCAUGCAAGUCGAACGGUUGUAGCAAUACAGCCAUGGCAAACGGGUGAGUAACACAUUGGUAACCUACCUCUAUCCCGGGCAUAACCCUCCGAAAGGAGGGACAAUACCCGAUAGUCAUGCGGGGUCGAAAGACAUUCGCAUGUAAAACUCCGGUGGAUAGAGAGGGGCCUAUGGCCCAUCAGCUUGUUGGUAGGGUAAUGGCCUACCAAGGCGAUGACGGGUAGCGGGUGUGAGAGCACGACCCGCCUCACGGGGACUGAGACACUGCCCCGACUCCUACGGGAGGCUGCAGUCAGGAAUAUUCCUCAAUGCGCGAAAGCGUGAAGGAGCAAUGCCGCGUGAUCGAAGAAGCCCUUCGGGGUGUAAAGAUCUUUUAUCAGGGACGAAUACGUGACGGUACCUGAUGAAUAAGCCACUGCUAACUUCGUGCCAGCAGCAGCGGUAAUACGAAGGUGGCAAGCGUUACCCGGAUUAAUUGGGCGUAAAGCGUCCGCAGAUGGUUUGAUACGUCAUAUGUCAAAUCCUGAAGCUCAACUUCAGGGCUGCAUGUGAUACGGUCUUACUAGGGGCUGGUAGAGGCAAGCGGAAUUAUCGGUGUAGCGGUAAAAUGCGUUAAUAUCGAUAAGAACACCAAAGGCGAAAGCAGCUUGCUGGAACAGUCCUGACAUUAAGGGACGAAAGCGUGGGGAGCGAAUGGGAUUAGAUACCCCAGUAGUCC
rnacentral:rRNA from 1 species